UGGGGAAUAUUGCACAAUGGGCGAAAGCCUGAUGCAGCAACGCCGCGUGAGUGAUGAAGGCCUUCGGGUUGUAAAGCUCUGUCUUUUGGGACGAUAAUGAUGGUACCAAAGGAGGAAGCCACGGCUAACUACGUGCCAGCAGCCGCGGUAAUACGUAGGUGGCAAGCGUUGUCCGGAUUUACUGGGCGUAAAGGAUGCGUAGGCGGAUUUUUAAGUGAGAUGUGAAAACCCUAAGCUUAACUUGGGGACUGCAUUUCAUACUGGAAAUCUAGAGUGCGGGAGAGGAGAAUGGAAUUCCUAGUGUAGCGGUGAAAUGCGUAGAGAUUAGGAAGAACACCAGUGGCGAAGGCGAUUCUCUGGACCGUAACUGGCGCUGAGGCAUGAAAGCGUGGGUAGCAAACAGGAUUAGAUACCCUGGUAGUCCACGCCGUAAACGAUGAGUACUAGGUGUAGGAGGUAUCGACCCCUUCUGUGCCGCAGUUAACACAAUAAGUACUCCGCCUGGGAAGUACGAUCGCAAGAUUAAAACUCAAAGGAAUUGACGGGGUCAUAGCUGUUUUCC
rnacentral:rRNA from 1 species